GUAACUGCGAGUGAAGCGGGAAAAGCUCAAAUUUAAAAUCUGUCAGUCUUUGGCUGUCCGAGUUGUAAUCUAGAGAAGUGUUAUCCGCGCUGGACCGUGUACAAGUCUCCUGGAAUGGAGCGUCAUAGAGGGUGAGAAUCCCGUCUUUGACACGGACUGCCAGGGCUUUUGUGAUGCGCUCUCAAAGAGUCGAGUUGUUUGGGAAUGCAGCUCAAAAUGGGUGGUAAAUUCCAUCUAAAGCUAAAUAUUGGCGAGAGACCGAUAGCGAACAAGUACCGUGAGGGAAAGAUGAAAAGAACUUUGGAAAGAGAGUUAAACAGUACGUGAAAUUGCUGAAAGGGAAACGCUUGAAGUCAGUCGCGUCAUUCAGGGAUCAACCUUGCUUUUGCUUGGUGUACUUUCUGGUUGACGGGUCAGCAUCAAUUUUGACCAUUGGAAAAAGAUUAAGGGAAUGUGGCAUACAUAGUGAUGUGUUAUAGCCCUUGGUUGCAUACAAUGGUUGGGAUUGAGGAACUCAGCACGCCGCAAGGCCGGGUUUUUAUUAACCACGUACGUGCUUAGGAUGUUGGCAUAAUGGCUUUAAUCGACCCGUCUUGAAACACGGACCAAGGAGUCUAACAUGCCUGCGAGUGUUUGGGUGGAAAACCCGAGCGCGUAAUGAAAGUGAAAGUUGAGAUCCUUGUCAUGGGGAGCAUCGACGCCCGGACCAGACCUUUUGUGACGGUUCCGCGGUAGAGCAUGUAUGUUGGGACCCGAAAGAUGGUGAACUAUGCCUGAAUAGGGUGAAGCCAGAGGAAACUCUGGUGGAGGCUCGUAGCGAUUCUGACGUGCAAAUCGAUCGUCAAAUUUGGG
rnacentral:rRNA from 1 species